AACGAACGCUGGCGGCGUGCUUAACACAUGCAAGUCGAACGGAAAGGCCCUGCUUUUGUGGGGUGCUCGAGUUGCGAACGGGUGACUAACCCGUGGGUAACCUGCCCCUGACUUUGGGAUAACUUCAUAAAACUGAGUCUAAUACCGGAUAGGAGCUCCUGCUGCAUGGUGGGGGUUGGAAAGUUUCGGCGGUUGGGGGUGGACUCGCCUCUUAUCAGCUUGUUGGUGUGGUAGUGGCUUACCAUGACUUUGACGGGUAGCCGGGCUGGGCGGGUGAGCGGACCAACUGGGCUUGGACUGAGGCACAGCCCACAACGGGAGGCAGCGGAGGAGAAUAGAGCAUAAUGGGAGGAGCCCUGAUGUAGUACAGCAGCGCCCGGUAUGACGGCCUGCGGGUUGUAAACCGCUUCCCCUUGUGACGAAGUGUGAGUGACGGUAACGGGUAAAGAAGCACCGGCUAACUACGUG
rnacentral:rRNA from 1 species